rnacentral:rRNA from 1 species
AGCCAUAAGAAGUUAUUUAUGGUUUUACCUGCCCAAUGUAUGAAAUUAUGAAUGGCCGCGGUACCCUGACCGUGCUAAGGUAGCGUAAUCAGUUGGCUUUUAAAUGGAGUCAGGUAUGAAUGGAAUAACCGGGUCUAGCUGUCUCCACGGUAAUUUAUCGAAUUUACUGUGUAGGUGAAAAAGCCUGCAACUAAAAAAAGGACGAGAAGACCCUUGGAAUUUUAUUUAAUAUUAGUAUUGCUAAUUAUAAUUUUGUUGGGGCGACAAAGAAAUAAUUUUGAACUUUCUUUUAUUGACUUGCCGGUAUUGUCAAGAUAGAAUAAAUUACCCAAGGGAUAACAGCAUAAUUCUAAAAAUGAGUUUGUGACCUCGAUGUUGGACUAGGAAGCUAACAGGUUAGCUGCUUGUUGUGCGGAUUCUGUUCGAAUUUUAACUCCU